rnacentral:lncRNA from 1 species
GUCUCUUCCUUACAGCAAUUCAGUCAUAUCAAUAACUACUAUUUCCACCAAUAUAUUCAUCCUCAUAAUCUCCAACUGUAAUACUGUGCCCUCACAGCUUUUAGCACACAAUUACCCUCGUUCCAAUCUCUGGAAUUCUUCACACAGAACUGCCAUUCACAUUACAAUAUUUCACACAAACACAGACUCAUUCUCUCUGCUAAAAUGCAAUCGGAUUUCACCAUUCAAUCUUUCUUCUUCUCAAAUAAUACCAAUCACAUUUCCAUAAUUCACUUCACAAUAUUCAAAAACUUUCAAUCCUCUUAUUCAAAGAAAAUAACAAACAAAAGAAAAGAGAUAGCACCAAACUUACCCCGGCUCACAACUCUCACAGUCUGGC